GUGGGAAAGAUGAAAGCUAAUGAUCAGUAAUUUAACAUGCAACAAGAAAAAAGGAACAAUGAGAGCUUUUCAACACUGCUCUGAGAGAGAUCACAAAAUAUAGUACAUCUGCAAUUUGGUAGAGGUAACGGAUUCAGCCUAAAGCACUGUGACCAGCCUCGAGACUCAGCUUAAGGGAGCAUCCAUGUGCAGUCUGCACUCAUGCAUUUUUCAUGAAUACCCACUGGAGUUCUUUUGAAGGACUACAUUCUCUAGUCACCAUCAGAGUUUGGUUACAGUGGCUGUGAUAUGUAGUAGAGGGGAGAAAAUUGCAUUGGCCCCAGAUAAAGGCCACCGAAGAUGAAUACGCCCGACAGAAGUGGAACCUUUUAAAGUAGGGCGGAUUAAUUGGAGUAACUUUGACCAGAACUCCUUCAGAAAACAGCAGAAGGAGCAAAUGCUAUCAAUCUCUGCAAUAUGGGAGUCUGCAUCAGACACCAGACACGUCGCUCGGCCACUGCAAGGCUGAACGUCAGAGUCAGCAAAAACAAAUCAGGAAAACAGAACGGGAGUGGACCUUUAUGCCACGGAGGAAAACACCAUGAAAUAAAGUGAGCAUGGGGGAGGCGGAUAAAAACAAAACUGUUGACAUCGAAGUUGCAAAACUGAGGAGGCAAAAUGGAGGCAAUGAUGCAGAAGGAGGAAUUUUAGUCUUAAAAAGGUAAAGUCCUCAUCCUG